AUUACAAAUAUAAAGCGUUUGAACUCCAUAAAAUGUCAAUGGAAGAUUUGUUAAAUAUUGUCGAAACCGGAACUACGAAAAUGAAUAACAGGAAUGAAGUGCUUUUUUCAGUUCACGUCUUUCAUGAACUUACCCAAAUUAUUACAUAACUGGACUCGAUUUCAUAUUCUAAUUAUAUACGUGUAUGUAUUCCUAUUCGAAAAAAAUUAUUUAUGGUUAGAAGUGAACCAGAAACUGAGGCAUUCAUAUUGAAAUUUUCGCUAAAGAAAUUUGAGCAACGAAGAAGUGACUAACACAUACAAUAAGGGAGUUCACAAAAUUUUAGUCGGUCGAUCGGUUAAAAUCGAGACGAGAAAACGCAAGAUAACCAACGCAAACAGAGAUCCGCCUCGAGAUUCGAGCUUUCUAAGUAGUUUCGAAGAUUCACGACCGGAGAUUUUUCCGUAAAGGAUGAGCUCCGAGAAGGUCGACCAAAAUCUUCCACUGAUGACGUCACUGUAACCUUGGUGAGCACCAAAAUUGACGACGAACGCAAGAAAUGGUUGCUAAUGAAUAUUAAACAAUCAUGUGGGAUACGUGAAGAAUUUUAAAUGAGGUCCAAGAAGAAACUCGAGUGCAUCUGGCCGAACUUUUCCUAAACCAAUUCGAUUAUGGUCAGUCUAUCAACUCUAGUAAAGUCGCUACUGGUGACGAAUCUUGGUUCUAUAAAUACAAUCGAGAAACCAAACAGCAGUCCAUGGUACGGAGUCCAAAAUGAGCCUAUCCACCCGUAAAAUCUUAGC